AGAGUUUGAUCCUGGCUCAGGAUAAACGCUGGCGGCGUGCCUAACACAUGCAAGUCGAACGUCCUCUGGCUUCGGCUAGAGGGAGUGGCGGACGGGUGAGUAAUACGUGGGUUAUCUACCUUGUGGUGAGGAAUACCGGCGAGAAAUCGCCGACAAGACCGCAUACGCUUCGCAAGAAGCAAAGUCCCGUCAGGGAUGCCACAAGAUGAGCCUGCGGCCGAUUAGCUGGUUGGUGGGGUAAGAGCCUACCAAGGCGACGAUCGGUAGCUGGUCUGAGAGGAUGAUCAGCCACACUGGGAUUGAGAACGGCCCAGACUCCUACGGGGGGCAGCAGUGAGGAAUUUUCGGCAAUGGACGUAAGUCUGACCGAGCAACGCCGCGUGCAGGAGGAAGGUCUUCGGAUCGUAAACUGCUUUUCUGGGGGACGAGCAAGGACGGUACCCCAGGAAGAAGCCCCGGCUAACUACGUGCCAGCAGCCGCGGUAAUACGUAGGGGGCAAGCGUUAUCCGGAAUUACUGGGCGUAAAGCGCACGCAGGCGGU
rnacentral:rRNA from 1 species